UACGUAGGGUGCGAGCGUUGUCCGGAAUUAUUGGGCGUAAAGAGCUUGUAGGCGGUCUGUCGCGUCUGCUGUGAAAAUCCGGGGCUCAACCCCGGACUUGCAGUGGGUACGGGCAGACUAGAGUGUGGUAGGGGAGACUGGAAUUCCUGGUGUAGCGGUGAAAUGCGCAGAUAUCAGGAGGAACACCGAUGGCGAAAGGCAGGUCUCUGGGCCACUACUGACGCUGGAGAAG
rnacentral:rRNA from 1 species